AUUACUGUAAUUCUCCUACCAAGUUCUGUAACCACUUUAAAGCCUGUACACAAACACUUCUUUCUAAAUACAGUUCAGUUUUAUUUGGGUAAGUUUCUAAAAGGUCUUAAAACAACAGUAGUGACUCAACAGCAUUUCACAUCCUGUAUGUGGCACUAUCAGUGAAAAUGGCAUUUAAAAAAAACCUUCAUGCUUCACUCGUAGAAAUGCUACAUUAUUAAAACAAUGGAUUGGAAUCCUGAAACUGAUGCUUCAGUUUUGCAAAAGAAUGACUAUUCUGCGUUUUUUCUGACUCUGAUUUACUUGCCUUCUGUGUGAUAAUUGCCGGUGUCUCUGAUCUACAGUCAUGUAUAGCCUUGUAAUGCUGUUUGUGUCUGCUUUAGUGUAUUGCAUUAUAGUAUUUUCUGUACUCUCUCCCAUGUCAUCAUAUCAGCUGAAGCAGAAGGUGGCUAUUUUGUACUGGAAUUUCUUGGUGUGUGCACUGCAUUUUGCUUCCAAACAAUAAAAAAACCCAACCUUUCCACUAAUGUAGUACCAGAGCACAAACAGGGUAAAAAUGUUCCAAAAGAGCUGGUGAUGUAUUAAAAAUGCAUGUUUACAGGAGAGGGUGGUCCUCCCAGAACCCUCCUCCCCAGCCUGUUUUAAAGCUGCAUGAUGUACUCACAUUACACAGAAGGAGAGUGACUGGCCUGUUCCUGUGCACAGAUGGCUGACUGGCUGGCUAUCCUAAAUAGAUAUUCUUCCCCUGUUCCACUUUUUGCUAUGCUUAAGGCUGAGAGAAACACCAGUUUUGUUUUUUCUCCAGUGUCAACCAAGCUAUAGGUAAAGCCACUGAAGAAUAAAUAAGGCUUGUCUUCCAGUCUCAUUAUGGCUGAUUUAAAUUAAAACUAGCUGGUAUAUGUCAGUUCACUAAACAGUAUACCAAAUGGUACAGUAUAUAGUACACUUGAACUAAAAUCCUGUUUAAGUAUCUAGGCAGACAAGGUUCCUUGGGUGAAUUUGAUUAAGUAUCUGUUUUAUAUAGCAGUGGUAUAUAGUGAGUGGAUUUCAACUCAUUUCAUGUUCUUGAUUUGUUACAGAGGGAAGCUGCAAACAUGUUCAAGUAAAACCCAAAUUGUUUAUUUUGCAAGCUCUCCAUUUCUUCCUUUCUCUGCAAUAAGCCUCAGAUUGCAUUCUGCUUCUGCAUGGUAACCUAGCUGUGUUUAGCAGUAAGCAUUGCAACGUUUUCUGGAAAGCAAGAUACCAUGGAACAAGAAGUGUGAAGGCUAGAACUCAGCCCUGGAACAGUUCAGAGAAUUUGCAGAUUGAUUCCACCAUCUCUCCUGUUUGAGCUGCUUGCCACUACAUUCCACUUGGCAGCUGUUCUCAGAAGCAGCUAGCACUGCUGUACUGCAUUUUAU